rnacentral:rRNA from 1 species
CAGCAGCCGCGGUAAUACGAAGGGGGCUAGCGUUGUUCGGAUUUACUGGGCGUAAAGGGCGCGUAGGCGGGCGAAUAAGUCAGGGGUGAAAUCCCAAGGCUCAACCUUGGAACUGCUUUUGAUACUGUUUGUCUUGAGUCCGGGAGAGGUGAGUGGAACUGCGAGUGUAGAGGUGAAAUUCGUAGAUAUUCGCAAGAACACCAGUGGCGAAGGCGGCUCACUGGCCCGGAACUGACGCUGAGGCGCGAAAGCGUGGGGAGCAAACAGGAUUAGAUACCCGAGUAGUCCCUGUCUCUUAUAA